rnacentral:rRNA from 1 species
GUCNAACGGCAGCGCGGACUUCGGUCUGGCGGCGAGUGGCGAACGNNNGAGUAAUGCAUCGGAACGUACCUUUCAGUGGGGGAUAACGUAGCGAAAGUUACGCUAAUACCGCAUAUUCUGUGAGCAGGAAAGCAGGGGAUCGCAAGACCUUGCGCUGAUGGAGCGGCCGAUGUCAGAUUAGCUAGUCGGUGGGGUAAAGGCUCACCAAGGCGACGAUCUGUAGCGGGUCUUAGAGGAUGAUCCGCCACACUGGAACUGAGACACGGUCCAGACUCCUACGGGAGGCAGCAGUGGGGAAUUUUGGACAAUGGGCGCAAGCCUGAUCCAGCCAUGCCGCGUGAGUGAAGAAGGCCUUCGGGUUGUAAAGCUCUUUCGGCCGGGAAAAAAUCGCUUGGGUUAAUACCCUGAGUGGAUGAUGGUACCGGAAUAAGAAGCACCGGCUAACUACGUGCCAGCAGCCGCGGUAAUACGUAGGGUGCGAGCGUUAAUCGGAAUUACUGGGCGUAAAGCGUGCGCAGGCGGUUUUGUAAGACAGGCGUGAAAUCCCCGGGCUCAACCUGGGAACUGCGUUUGUGACUGCAAGGCUAGAGUAUGGCAGAGGGGGGUGGAAUUCCACGUGUAGCAGUGAAAUGCGUAGAGAUGUGGAGGAACACCAAUGGCGAAGGCAGCCCCCUGGGCCAAUACUGACGCUCAUGCACGAAAGCGUGGGGAGCAAACAGGAUUAGAUACCCUGGUAGUCCACGCCCUAAACGAUGUCAACUAGGUGUUGGGUGG